rnacentral:sRNA from 1 species
AAUUUGCUAAAACACACACUUAUCGACACAGGUUUCUGGGUGCCGUUUACGGUGGGGAUCUGGGAUAGGUGGAGGCGUAAC